CGUAGGGUGCGAGCGUUAAUCGGAAUUACUGGGCGUAAAGCGUGCGCAGGCGGUUUGUUAAGAUAGGCGUGAAAUCCCCGGGCUCAACCUGGGAACUGCGCUUAUGACUGGCAAGCUAGAGUACGGCAGAGGGGGUGGAAUUCCACGUGUAGCAGUGAAAUGCGUAGAGAUGUGGAGGAACACCAAUGGCGAAGGCAGCCCCCUGGGUCGAUACUGACGCUCAUGCACGAAAGCGUGGGUAGCAAACAGGAUUAGAUACCCUGGUAGUCCACGCCCUAAACGAUGUCAACUAGGUGUUGGGAGGGUAAAACCUUUUAGUACCGGAGCCAACGCGUGAAGUUGACCGCCUGGGGAGUACGGCCGCAAGGUUA
rnacentral:rRNA from 1 species